rnacentral:rRNA from 1 species
AUUGAACGCUGGCGGCAGGCCUAACACAUGCAAGUCGAGCGGGGUUUUCGGACCUAGCGGCGGACGGGUGAGUAAUGCGUAGGAAGCUGCCCGAUAGAGGGGGAUACCAGUUGGAAACGACUGUUAAUACCGCAUAAUGUCUACGGACCAAAGUGUGGGACCUCGGGCCACAUGCUAUCGGAUGCGCCUACGUGGGAUUA